rnacentral:rRNA from 1 species
GAUGAACGCUGGCGGCGUGCUUAACACAUGCAAGUCGAGCGAAGCAGUUAAGAAGAUUCUUCGGAUGAUUCUUAACUGACUGAGCGGCGGACGGGUGAGUAACGCGUGGGUGACCUGCCCCAUACCGGGGGAUAACAGCUGGAAACGGCUGCUAAUACCGCAUAAGCGCACAGAGCUGCAUGGCUCGGUGUGAAAAACUCCGGUGGUAUGGGAUGGGCCCGCGUCUGAUUAGGCAGUUGGCGGGGUAACGGCCCACCAAACCGACGAUCAGUAGCCGGCCUGAGAGGGCGACCGGCCACAUUGGGACUGAGACACGGCCCAAACUCCUACGGGAGGCAGCAGUGGGGAAUAUUGCACAAUGGGGGAAACCCUGAUGCAGCGACGCCGCGUGAGCGAAGAAGUAUUUCGGUAUGUAAAGCUCUAUCAGCAGGGAAGAUAAUGACGGUACCUGACUAAGAAGCCCCGGCUAACUACGUGCCAGCAGCCGCGGUAAUACGUAGGGGGCAAGCGUUAUCCGGAUUUACUGGGUGUAAAGGGAGCGUAGACGGCAAGGCAAGUCUGAUGUGAAAACCCAGGGCUUAACCCUGGGACUGCAUUGGAAACUGUCUGGCUCGAGUGCCGGAGAGGUAAGCGGAAUUCCUAGUGUAGCGGUGAAAUGCGUAGAUAUUAGGAAGAACACCAGUGGCGAAGGCGGCUUACUGGACGGUAACUGA